AUGUUAUUAUAAUAUAAAAUAAUGGUUUCUAUUUAAAUAUCCUUUAAAAUAUAAUUUUCUAUCACUUCUUAACAAUUUAACACGUCCUUGCUGAAUAAAAGGUUUAAUUUCUUUCAAAAAAAAGAAAAUAGAAAUUUACCGACCCCAAACAUUUGAACAGUAGUGUAUAUUGUAAGAAAAGAUUUCUAUUUUAAAUAAAUGCUCUUCUUUUUUUACCUUUUUUUAUUCAUCAAAGAAUCCUGAGCAUCACAGCUUCUAAAAAAAUAUUUGGCUGUUGCCAACAUUGAUAAUUCUAAUAAUAAAUCAGCAUAUUAGAAUGAUUUCUGAAGGAUCAUGUGACACUUUAAACUGGAGUCAUGGGUGAUGGAAAUUCAGCUUUUCAUCACAGAAAUAAAUUAUAUUUUAAAGUAUAUUUAAAUGGAAACCAUUAUUUAUAUUCUAAUAACAUUUUGCAAGAUUACAGUUUUUUUUUCUGAAUUUUUGAUCAAAUAAAUGCAGCCUUGAUGAGCAGAAGAGACUUCUUUAAAAAAAACAUUACAAGUCUUACUGAUCCCAAACUUUUGAACAACAGAGGAAUCAAUUCUUGGAGUGGAAUCCUAUCAAUACCAGAACCAGGAAUCGGAAUUGGACUUGAUUCCAAAAAAAUUCAGAAUCGUACAGCCCUACCCUGAAGUGCCUUGAAACCAAGCGGCAACAUCCUGCUCUCUCUCAUGAAGCCAACACGAAAGUGACUUAAACUGUAAUUCAUCAACUGGCUGUUAGAGGCUGGCUGUACAGCAGAAGAAAAAUAAAUAAAUAAAAAAAAUAUAAAAAAAAAACUUUACAGCCUGAUUCAAAAAAUUAUUUUGGUCUAUAUAGCUAAUUUUGCCCUUCAUGACAACUGUAAGGGGGUGAAUUUUUGUAUAACUCAUCCGUUUUAAUUAUAUUAAGCCUUAAAGUUCUGCAUAAUUAAGGGCGUGGCCACUUGAGUAACAGGUGGAUUGCCACUGCUGACAAUGCCGUCACGUUAGGUGGGCGUGGUUUCAGCAACCAGCUCCUGCCUUUUUGUCCAUUUUUGACACACUGCCAAGAUGGCGAUGGCCCACUCCACCCACUAUGAGCUUCAAAACCGCUCUUUAGAAAACUACGGGUGAUGUCACGGACACUAUGUCCAUGUUUUUAUACAGUCUAUGCUUGAAACACGCAGCGUAUUCUAUGUGUUGACGUAAUUUCAACUGAAACAAUAAGACAGGUCGGGACCAUACUGUAUAAAAACAGGUCGAGAUGUUACGAGCAGCCCUGCCCCGUUUUUAAAAUAGUCAAUAACGUUUUGUUUAUGGGCCAAAGCCGUUGAGCUCUAUAAAGCUGCAUUUGACAGCCACAGUCUAAUAGAUUUCCCCCUAGAUUCAACAUGAAACUCUUAGUAAAACAAAAUAGUGAUCAUAAUCAUGCUGAGGCUGUGUAGUUUUAAAAGUGUUUA
ensembl:lncRNA